rnacentral:rRNA from 1 species
UACAGAGGUCUCAAGCGUUGUUCGGAUUCAUUGGGCGUAAAGGGUGUGUAGGUGGCGCCGUAAGUCGGGUGUGAAAUCUCGGGGCUUAACUCCGAAACUGCAUUCGAUACUGCGGUGCUUGAGGACUGAAGAGGAGACUGGAAUUCAUGGUGUAGCAGUGAAAUGCGUAGAGAUCAUGAGGAAGACCAGUGGCGAAGGCGGGUCUCUGGACAGUUCCUGACACUGAGACACGAAGGCCAGGGGAGCAAACGGG